CACGUAGGGGGCGAGCGUUGUCCGGAUUUAUUGGGCGUAAAGAGCUCGUAGGCGGCUCGGUAAGUCGGGUGUGAAACCUCCAGGCUCAACCAGGAGACGCCACCCGAUACUACCGUGGCUAGAGUCCGGUAGAGGAGCGUAGAAUUCCUGGUGUAGCGGUGAAAUGCGCAGAUAUCAGGAGGAAUACCAGCGGCGAAGGCGGCGCUCUGGGCCGGUACUGACGCUGAGGAGCGAAAGCGUGGGGAGCAAACAGG
rnacentral:rRNA from 1 species